UACAGUAGGCGGCGGUAUACUGUACUGUGCAGUUCGUGUCCGCAUCGUCAUACGCGCCAGUAUUGCUGGAAGACUGCAGGAACAGAACCCCCUGGAAAGAUGAGUUCCUUAUUAAAGAAAGGCUUGAUGCUGUUUACUCCACACUCUUAGGCUGACUUUGUAUUAUUUGUCUGUGAAGACAGUUCACAGUUUCUGAAUCCCAUCAAGAAUGAAGACCUGCAGGCCACCAUAUUGAGAUGGUCCGAUGUCAUGAUAUGGCGCUUUUCCAAUGUAGGGUACAACUUGGCUCGGCACGAUGCAGCUCAGCUCGCUUUCGUUGCUUUUCCAGUACAGUUUAGUGUCGCUUCAGAGUGGGUGAGAUUAUAGGCAGGGGUGCAC